rnacentral:tRNA from 1 species
GAUUAGGUGGCUGAUAUAUAAGUGAUUGAUUGUAAAUCAAUUUAAGGGUUAUUUCCCCCCUAUUUA